UUGUGUUGGACUUUGUGUCUCUCUCAUUCUCUGUCUUGCUGUCUUGCUCUGGGUAUUUUUAUUUUUGAUUUAUUUUUUACAAAUUUCGCUUCAUUUAUUUCGUUAAUUUGAUUUCAGGUUCUUGGGUAAUCCCUAAUGCUAUAUAAAAGCUGAGGUAUUUAUACAUCACGACAUAUUGGGUUACGAGAUAGAAUUUUCAAAUCUUUGAUGACAACGACAAUGCAGAGAUAGUUGUUUUGGGAUUUCGAUUGUUUAGGGUGACUUUUGCAUAGGUGGUCUUUCGUUGCUUUGGAUAGAGCGGUUUGGUUGGUGUUUUCAGUUCUGUUAAGUAAGGGGUGAGUUUCUAGGCUGAAAUUUCAAUUAAUUGUUUUAAGUUUUAUGAAUAGAGCAUAGGAAUUAGCUAAUGGCAUCAAUUGGCAAUUAGUUUGUGUUAAUUUGUUAUUGUAAUGAUAGGUUUAGAUGAUUACAAUAUUUGAACAUGUUGGUAGACCCUGAGUAUUUUGGCAACUGGGUAGUUGAGAUGUUCCCGGCCUA